GGAAAGGAGGCGGGUCGUGCGCGGCUCCGUGAGGCCGCCGCCGACGAGUGCAUCGCUGGAGGCUCCACCAAGACGCCUCUGACAUCCGCCGUCGUUCUGCCUUGCCCCCAUCCUUAUGCCUUGCCUCUCACCUCCAUCAAAUCGCCAUUGCUGAAGCGGAACUCCAGACUCUAGAUGACUGCUUAGUAGUUUGGAACUGAACUUUUACUGCGAUAAUUUCUGAAGGGGGAGGAGAACAACCACUCUCCCAUAUUCUGCCGGUAUGCCUCUGCCCCUAUAUCUAAAUCAGGAAAUCGCUGAGGUGGUGGCAAUUAGUUCCUAUCUUGAUUAUGUUCGGAAAUAGAUACCUGCGUUUUUCUGGCUAAACUGGUUUGUGUUGCGUGGCUGAUUUUAAGGAAACUUGCAAGUUAUAGGGUUUGAUUAUUUCCCUACAUAUGCACAUCGUUGUAGGUUUGUUGCGGAAUUCUGACUUUUGAUUCUAUCUACUCUUUUUGCGGGUCAAUGUCUGCACUUUGUAGAUAGUUUGCUAGACAGUUCAUUUCAGGUCGAGUCUGAUCUUGUUUCGUCUUGAUUAACAUAGUUUGGCCUCAGCAAAGCAUACAUUUUGUACAAAAUAUUAUUAUCUAUUGACAACGGUCCAUGAUAACUUUGAUUAUGACCGUACAGAUUAUUUUCGCAGAGGAACACAUAUUCUGUUGAUGAUGAAAAUUUGCAUAGGUGGAUAGUCAGUCUGAUCAGGCACAUGUAGAUCAAAAACUACUUAUCCACAUGUAGGUCAAAAACUUGCGAGUUCUCACUCUUGAUCAGGCCCUAAAGUUACUAGGUGGACCUUACAUGGCGCAGGCAGCUGCAAGGUGGUGAAUCGACAAUGCCUGAUAUGAAACCGUACACAUAGUCCCCACGACUAGCCUGCCUUCAAAUUCCCGUGGAUCGACGCAGACAUCAACUUCAGGAGCAAGGAGUAGUUCGUGCAGGUGCUGCAGCAGCAGCCGCUGGCUUCAUCUGGGGCAUUCGUGCAGGUGCUGCAGCAGCAGCCGCUGACUUCAUCUGGGGCAGCUCCAGGUUCCGGGGCAUCACCCUGUACAAGUGUGGCAGGUGGGAGGCUAGGUCAUGGGCAAGAAGCCAAGAAGUAAUCUUUAUUCGUCAGGGAAAAAUGCGUUAACUUUCCACAGGGCUUACGACAAGAUUGCAUCGAAAGCUGCGGGGAGGAGGCGCGACCAACUUCCUGGAGUAUGAUACAGGCCCAGGAUAUCCUCCAGCUCGACCAAAUCAGCCGCGUCCAUCGCUGACAUCUUACCACCCGCUUUGGAGUGUGUCUGGGCCGAACCAAAUGGCACAAUAAGGCGGUGGUCAGAUGUGUUUGGGUUUCCUCUUUUUGGUGUUCCACACUUCCAUUGUGGAAAUUUUUAGGACUGGCCUACCAAUUUUUUCUGCAGCAGACACUUCUUUUUUUGGUUAACUUGCAAUGUAAGCUUUAGUAAUUAGCCACAACUUCUGGAGGACAGUAGAAGAGGAUAGGUGCAUCUUUGUUGGUUCUUCCAGGUUAGGUGUUCGAUAAAUUGGGUUCUUUGGCAUCAAAAGCUAGGUAAUACAGUCAAUAAGCGAGUUCGUUGUGCAGUAUAUGCCGUGUCAUGUCAUCAAUAAGCCACACAUGGAAAUGCCUCCUGUGUCAAAUGUUUGAUAUAGUUUUCCAUGCUUAGAUGUCUCCGCACCCUGUGUCAAUGUGGCAUGUUGUAAUGGCUGAUGCAUCUGAAGGAGCGCCAUCGCUGUUAAGUUGUGGUGUAAUUAGUGGCCUGUGUAGUUGGUACAUACAGGGAGUUCUAUAGGUUGGUCCUAUCAGCCUAAUACCAACGGCCCUCAUGGUCAUGGAUAUGUGCAGCGAAGUGAAGUACUGACUUAAUCUUUGACGAGCGUUGCAGUAGUAAGUAUCUUUGGAGUUGGUCCCUCUUACUAUGACAUUAUAAGAGAGGAGUGCUUAUGUUUUUUUCUAAUUUCAAAUCUACUGUUAGUCUUCCCUUCCCUUCAAAAAUAUUGUGCUUUGUUUUCCUUAUGAUAUAUCUUUUGUGCAAUUUAAUGCUGAAUUGACGG